rnacentral:rRNA from 1 species
AUGAAGGUUCUUUGUGUUGGCCCACCACUUGAUCCUCUUGAUCAUGGUCUCCACCUCGGCUGGGUUCCCCCAGGCGACGCCCUUCUCCUUCCAAGACUUGAGUUUCUUCAGAGGCCUGACCGAGAAGGCUCGAACCUUCGCCUGGACAGUGGCGAGCUGCUCAGUGAUAUAGAACCACUCUCGCUGUCACUCCUUCACCGUUUUGAUGAAGGUGCCCUUGAAUCAUUCGCUCCCUGGUUCUUGCUAAUCAUGGCCCCUCCGCAUUCCGCGAGGUUGGAGCCGCUGGACUUCGGCUUAAUCCCGAAGAUCUUCAGCCACAUCCCAAAGUGUGGCUCGCAGCGAAGGAAGGCCUCGCAGACCGUAAUGAAGGAGGUGGGGUGGAGGAUGGAGUUUGGGGUCAUGUGGUGGAAGGCAAGCCCGUAA